GCCUACGGCCAUACCACCCUGAGAACGCCCGAUCUCGUCUGAUCUCGGCAGCUAAGCAGGGUCGGGCCCGGUUAGUACUUGGAUGGGAGACCGCCUGGGAAUACCGGGUGCUGUAGGCU
rnacentral:rRNA from 1 species